UCCUGUAGGCCAUACUGGGCUGAAAGUCCCCGAUCUUGUCUGAUCUUGGAAGGUAAACUGCCCCGGGCGUGGCUAGUAUUUGGAUGGGUGACCGCCUGGGAAUCCCAGGUGCUGUAGGCA
ensembl:rRNA 5S_rRNA 5S ribosomal RNA